GUACAAACCCUACCACAAAUUAUAUUGCAAAAGGAAUUGAUCGUUUCAAAACUGCUUUCUAGAUUACAAAUAAAAAGCAGGCUAUCACUGGAGCCAAUACUCAGGUUGGUAGCCACAUUAUCAAGGGAUCUUCUGGAGGAUUUUUUGCCCUUUCUCCAGAGGAUUGUGAAUGCUAUAGUAUUUCUUCUGAAAAAUGGUGGUGAUAAGGAUCCAGACAUAAUUAAGCAGG